AGUACGCGGCUGAUAAAGCACAAAAAACCAAACCACGCCCACGCCCACGCCUCUCCCUAUAAAUAAGGAAGCGAUGAGCAGAGUAGAAAUUUGGGCAUUAAUGGGCGAAUUUGAAUUUGCAGGUGAUCGAUCAUCCUCAUCAUCCCAAAUUGAAACCCUGAAAUGACCCCUCAAAUUCCAAUGGAGCUCCCCAGUAUAGUCCAAAAAUCCAAUUCUCUGUUUUUUAUUACUACCUGUUGCUUCUUUGAAAAAGAUUUAUAAAUUGAUGGAUUUUUAAGUGACAGAGACUGCUGUAGGUCAAUUUAUGAUAGAGAUGGUUUGUUUCCUCUCUCUUGUUCAAUAAUGGAGGAUCCUGAUUCUUGAAGAUGUAACAGAUGGAACAAGGAGAAGGGAUGAAGAUCUUUGCCAGAUCUUCAAUAUAUAUGAUAUUAAUCCGUUCUUGUUUUUUGCAUUUUGAUGCCAUUAAUUACAGUUAAUUAAUACUGUAUGAGAUUAGUUAAUUUUUCAUACAGCAGUAUUAAUUUCUGUAUCCAACAACAUUCUCUACAGUAUAGGUGUUUCUAUGCUCGGAAACCAUCCAGCUGUGGCGAUUUGAAGUUUUGAAUCCUGAUUUUGCAGGUUACUUUUUCUCUUGUUUCUUGACUUGGUUAAGAAGAAGAGCUUUGUGUUGUGGAGGAAAGAGGAUUUUGAGAGUCCAGAGAGGUUGCCAUGGCAAUGAUUGAUUUCUGGUCUCAAUGGAAAUACACUCUUCAAUCACUUGAUUGUAGUGUGGGAGAGGGACGAUCGGGAAGCUUGAUGUUUUUGUGCAUUUGGAAAAUUUUCAGGUUUAAUUUUAUCUUCUUUUGUGUUUGUAGGAGAGAGGGUUUUUCUGUGUUUUUGUGCAAUUGAGAUGUAAUAAGAUGUGUUUUGCUGUGAGGAUGCAAAGAUAGAUUUACUGAAAUA